UACGUAGGGUGCAAGCGUUAAUCGGAAUUACUGGGCGUAAAGCGUGCGCAGGCGGCUUUGCAAGACAGAUGUGAAAUCCCCGGGCUCAACCUGGGAACUGCAUCUGUGACUGCAAGGCUAGAGUACGGUAGAGGGGGAUGGAAUUCCGCGUGUAGCAGUGAAAUGCGUAGAUAUGCGGAGGAACACCGAUGGCGAAGGCAAUCCCCUGGACCUGUACUGACGCUCAUGCACGAAAGCGUGGGGAGCAAACAGG
rnacentral:rRNA from 1 species